rnacentral:rRNA from 1 species
GAACGUGCUUGCACGGACUUGACGUUGGUUUACCAGCGAGUGGCGGACGGGUGAGUAACACGUAGGUAACCUGCCCCAAAGCGGGGGAUAACAUUUGGAAACAGAUGCUAAUACCGCAUAACAAUUUGAAUCGCAUGAUUCAAAUUUAAAAGAUGGCUUCGGCUAUCACUUUGGGAUGGACCUGCGGCGCAUUAGCUUGUUGGUAGGGUAACGGCCUACCAAGGCUGUGAUGCGUAGCCGAGUUGAGAGACUGAUCGGCCACAAUGGAACUGAGACACGGUCCAUACUCCUACGGGAGGCAGCAGUAGGGAAUCUUCCACAAUGGGCGCAAGCCUGAUGGAGCAACACCGCGUGAGUGAAGAAGGGUUUCGGCUCGUAAAGCUCUGUUGUUAGAGAAGAACGUGCGUGAGAGCAACUGUUCACGCAGUGACGGUAUCUAACCAGAAAGUCACGGCUAACUACGUGCCAGCAGCCGCGGUA